AGUGGGGAAUAUUGGACAAUGGGCGCAAGCCUGAUCCAGCCAUGCCGCGUGAGUGAUGAAGGCCUUAGGGUUGUAAAGCUCUUUUGUCCGGGAAGAUAAUGACUGUACCGGAAGAAUAAGCCCCGGCUAACUUCGUGCCAGCAGCCGCGGUAAUACGAAGGGGGCUAGCGUUGCUCGGAAUCACUGGGCGUAAAGGGCGCGUAGGCGGACUCUUAAGUCGGGGGUGAAAGCCCAGGGCUCAACCCUGGAAUUGCCUUCGAUACUGGGAGUCUUGAGUUCGGAAGAGGUUGGUGGAACUGCGAGUGUAGAGGUGAAAUUCGUAGAUAUUCGCAAGAACACCAGUGGCGAAGGCGGCCAACUGGUCCGAUACUGACGCUGAGGCGCGAAAGCGUGGGGAGCAAA
rnacentral:rRNA from 1 species